AAGUACACGCCUGCAGAGUCGCGCGCCGCGAAAUAAGCCUUUCGCGCAUGCAUACACUCCUCUCGAAUAAAUCGGAUGUUUCUCGGUCGAAAAAACAAAAUAAAGUCGUUCCAAAGCAGUCCGAGAGCUUUUCGUAUUUUCGGCCGAAAAGAGGAGACACAGAGAGGCGCGGUUAUAGGUUAUAACGAAGGAAAGGAAAAGAACCGAGAGAGCUGGCGGUGGUACGAGGAGGGAGGACGUGGCUGCAGCAACGGCAGCCGGUAAAACCCUUUAGUCUAGACCGCAGGCGAGCGGAGACGGCGAAGCCAAGAGAGAGAAAGACAAUGCGAAAGAAAAGCCCCAAAGCGGAAGAAGAGCGCAGUUGCAGGUGAUGACAUAGAUACGGAAGCCCGGUCACGGCAUCUGUAGGUAGGCAUGUUAGUUACAGUUGUGACAGUGAAGAAGGAAUUCCUCAAACUCGAUAAGUAAUCGUUGCCACUUGUAAACAUGCUCGCUGAUGCUCGCGGAAUAUAGCAUCCUAACCUGAAACCGGUGUUUUCUAGAUUCUACAACUUUUCGGAACAAUAUGAGAUGUCAGAGUCCAAACAGUUUAAUGCAGAGGACUCAAUCACAGUCCUUAGUGGUACUGAUCCACCCAUGAUACUGCCUAUAGAGAAUAGUACUCUGACUUUAGAAUGUUUGACAACAUACUUUCCAAAUGCGAAUGGUCUGGUGUGGACUUAUCAAACAGGAAGAUGCCAUGGAUUGGAAAUAAAUAAUGGGCAGAUGUCCAUAAUACCACAGAUACGUACAUACACGGUACGUUAGGCUAAAUUUCAACAAAGAAGUAGUGAUGCUAGUAACGUUAGCAGCAGUAGCAGUAACGCAAACAAAUCCUCAGGCAUUGUGAAAGCUGCUGAUUCGGCAAAAUUGGACCGAAUCAUUUUUUACAGAAAAGUGAUUGAAGGUAAAGAUGUUGGGGAUGUGCCUCCAAUUAUGUCAAAACUUAACAAAGUAUCUGAAGCUAAAGAUGGAAGAUCUAAGAAUUCUGGCUUGAGAAAAGCACAAAAGCAAGAAAAGUCAUAUUCUACACCUAAACUGAAGUACGUAAACAUAGGAUGGAAACACAGACAAAUUGGUCAGAAGAAGUAUUUACAUAGAAAAAAUAUUAAAAAUGAAAAGUCAAGAGAAUGAACAUUAGAUAUCUCCAAAGUAUUUACAGUUAGCGAUAUAAUCAAAUUAGGUAUCGAAGAAUACUCUAAUGAUCAAGUAGCAAAAUUUACAUUAGAAAAUACUGAAGUUAAAUUAGGAUUUUUUCCUUUCCUUUGCCUUUCAAUUCAUUCAUUAUAGCUUGAAUUAUUUCAUGUAUAUCCUCCUGGAUAUGCUUUCUGUUUAAAUUUAAGGAUUUUAUGAUUCGUUGCAAAUGCCUAUAAGAUAUAUUGAAACCUUCUACUUUCAAAAUAUCUAUUAUUUCGUCGUACGAAUAACCUUGCUUAAAAUAAACUUCUAUAAUUUCUUCUCUCGACGGCAUCUAUGAAAAGCAUAUAUAUAUAUAUAUAUAUAUAUAUAUAUAUAUAUAUAUGUAGAUAGAAUAUGUAGAUGUAAUAAUAUUGAGAAAAUUGUGUUAUUAUAAAUGACUUUACAAAGAAA
rnacentral:lncRNA from 1 species